rnacentral:lncRNA from 1 species
AGAUGGUAAUCCAAUGUAUAAGCAAUGGACUGUUUUAUUCUUGGUGCUUUCAAGACCUGAUGCUUUGUUUUGAACAGGUUGAUACAUCUAGCCUGCAACAUCCGACAGCUUCAGUUAUUGAGUGAAAUACAUCACCGCUUUCCCUGCUCCCGCCGCCAUUAAAAUUGUGUUUGGCAUCUGACCACCAAGAUACAGAUAUUUCCUAGACUGUUUUGCAGCUAGGUACUUAGCAUUUCUCUUUCCUCUGGAGAAAAAUAUCUGCUUUCUUUAAAAUAAAUGUUCCAUCCAUGCAGCUAAGCAGCUAAGGACACGAACAGCCACUGAUACAGGCCAACUCAUCAGUAGAUUAUUGAGAUUUCAUACUAGGACCUUUCAUUGGCUGAACAAAGACAAAGACAGAAAUCAAGGAAGGUCAAAGAAGCAGUCAGUUUUCUGGCACCCAAAGUUGUUGGAGAAGGGUACAGAGUCGGUAAAUAAGUCAUAUGACAGACAGGCAGUAUUUUCUUAUUUUAAUAACAAGUUUAAAAAUCCCACUUCUUGUACUUACCUUCUGUCUGACGUCAUCAGUAUUUUAAAAUGCCAACUGGGAUCAAGUUCAACACUGCAUUACUGAAGAAUCCAGAUUAUCUACAUUUCAAGUGCCAAAUGAAAGAAAGAACCCAGAAAAUAAAACAAUAUGAUGAUAACAGUAAAAUUUUUUAAAAUGAAA